rnacentral:rRNA from 1 species
AUUGAACGCUGGCGGAAUGCUUUACACAUGCAAGUCGAGCGGCAGCGCGGGGCAACCUGGCGGCGAGCGGCGAACGGGUGAGUAAUGCAUCGGAAUGUACCCAGUCGUGGGGGAUAACACAGCGAAAGUUGUGCUAAUACCGCAUACGUCCUGAGGGAGAAAGCGGGGGAUCGCAAGACCUCGCGCGAUUGGAGCAGCCGAUGUCAGAUUAGCUAGUUGGUGAGGGAAAGGCUCACCAAGGCGACGAUCUGUAGCGGGUCUGAGAGGACGACCCGCCACACUGGAACUGAGACACGGUCCAGACUCCUACGGGAGGCAGCAGUGGGGAAUUUUGGACAAUGGGCGAAAGCCUGAUCCAGCCAUUCCGCGUGAGUGAAGAAGGCCUUCGGGUUGUAAAGCCCUUUAGGUUGGGAAGAAGUGUUAUUGGUGAAUAACCGAUGACAUUGACGGUACCAACAGAAUAAGCACCGGCAAACUCUGUGCCAGCCGCCGCCGUAA